CGUGGCGGCGUACGGUGACAGCUGAGCUGAAGGAGAUUAACUUAUCCUGCGGCGAGGCACAGCAUGUUGCUCAAGACAAGUCCAGAUGGAGGCAGAUCGUCGAAGCCUUAUGUCCCAUCACGGACGAAGAGGAUCAAAUGGCAAGCUAUAUUACCUCCGCCACAAAGGAUCGGCCAAAGAGCUGAAAGUUAAAGUGGUGUGUGGGGCAGCUGAAGCAGAUGCCAUAUUUAGAGAGUUCCACGCAAGUGACAUUGGCGCACAUUGUGGCCAGAUCAAAACAAGGGAUGCAAUUUCCAAGAGAUGUUACUGGCCCUCCAUGACGUGUGACAUUGAAAAAUGGGUGUCUGAAUGCACAUCCUGUCAACAGAAGGGCAGGGUUGACCUAAAGGCAGGCACAGAGUACAAGCCAAUCAAGGUGAACUUCACCUUUUGCAUUUUAAUUACACAGCAUGUAUCCUUGGCGAGAGGUGGGGUGGCUAGCACUGCAAUCUCCCAUGAAAAGGUGGCCCUAUUCAAACUCUGGCAGGGAUAAGGCCUCGCUGUUUAUAGGUCAAUCAUUUGAGACUACCAAAGUCAAACUAAUUGUGAAGAAUAUGCAAAUGUUGCCUAAAUUUUCAUGUCCCCGAACCAUUGCCUCACAGCAGCUAUAAUUCUCCCUGUGUUUGUGUGAGUUUUUGUGUGUUUACUCCACGCUAACAUUGUUCUCCACUCUUCUCUUCAAGACCAAAUGCCCCUUUGAGCUGGUCGGAAUGGACCUCAUAGGCAGGCUGGUGAAGACCAAGACAGGCAACCAAUACAUUUGUGUGAUAGUAGAUUACUGCACCAGAUGGGCACAGGCAUAUGCCCUAAAAUCUAAAACAGCAGAAGAAGUGACAGGGUGCAUCCUCAAAUUUUUCCAUCAGUUUGAGGUUCCGCAAAGAAUCCUGACUGACCAGGGCAAAGAAUUUGUCAACAAUGUAUGCACAUACCUUUUUGUUUGAUGUAAGAUACACAAACUUAUGAUUUAGUUUAGAAUUAUUGUGUUGUACUUCUCACUGAUACGAUUGAUGACUAUAAUAUUGUUGAUAGAAUACUGCUUGACUUAAAUUGUGAGGUUUAAAAGGACUAAACAUGUGAAAGUACUUGAAGCCAUGAAUUACAAACUACUUUUACAGAUCAACACAGAGGUUUGCCGGCUUUUGGUGGUUAAAAGAAGCCUUACUUGAUUUAAAUGUGAACACCAACAUUUCAUCCCCUCUUACAUAUCUACCACCUCUGUUUUUACCUCGCAUUUCUAAAAAAUAAAAUCUUUCUGGCAGAUAUCAAAGAAGCUUGGGGAGGACAGGAUUGUCACAUUCUUCUGUCCAAAAUUGGAUGAUACAAAAUGUGGUAUUGGGACAUCAAUCGCACAGGGCCCAACAAGGAACUUGAAAGCGAGGUCAUCAAUGCAUACCUACAUAAACUAGUCGAGUGCUACAACAGCCGAGGAGGGAAACAAGCUGCAUACAUUGAUUCAUUUGCCAUGACAAUGAUGAAGCAAGGAAAAAAAACACGAGUGAAACUGGAUCCCAAUUCAUUUUUUGUUGUUUUGGGAGCUGUCCAUGAACCUGGCCACUGUUUUUUUACAGCCAUUUAUCCAGCAGAGCAGCGGAGUCUCGUGCAUGACUCAUUAGGCAACGCUCGCUCUAAAGUACCCAAGUGUUUGGAGUCCACCAGGUCUUUCAUGCGACAGAGGAAUGUUGCACUACCAAAGUGGUCUGCAAACACAGUGCCUCACAGUCUACAAAAAGACAGUACCUCCUGUGGGAUAUUUGUAUAAAUAUGCUGAAAAGGUGUUGGCGGAGGAGGCACCCAUUUUCGAUAAUUCUGACCAGGCGGUGGAGGCAUAUCGGAUGGAUGUUGCAAAAACGCUCCUCAAGGAAACUGAUGAUCUCAGUGAGCUCUGCCACUGCUGCGGAGAGGAGGAGAUUGGUGGGAGCCCCAAAAGUGAUACCACUGACUGGACACAUAAGACCAAGAUAGGCUGCCUGAGGAAACCCGUGGUGCAAAGCACAGGGCAAGUACCUUGUACGGCCCUGAUGAGACGGAGGAGGACCCAGGCCCGGACACUCCCCACAGUGCCUGGAACCUCCAAGCACCACCGGCGCAACCCCGGGGCAGACCGUCGGAGGGGGGACGCGUGGCAUGGAGCGCUACCUGGACACAAGUCGAGGGACUGAUCACCCUCGGCUGGGUCGCCCGGGAGAGGGUGUUUGAUUGAGACCCGAAACACCCUAUGACCCCGGGAGAAUCACUGAUGAUGCCAAGGUUUCUCAUAGUCAUUCACAUUGACGUCCCACUGGGGUGAGUUUUCCUUGCCCGUAUGUGGGCUCUGUACCGAGGAUGUCGUUGUGGCUUGUACAGCCCUUUGAGACACUUGUGAUUUAGGGCUAUAUAAAUAAACAUUGAUUGAUUGAUUGAUUGAUG